CCUACGGGGGACUGCAGUAGGGAAUCUUCCACAAUGGGCGAAAGCCUGAUGGAGCAACGCCGCGUGGGUGAAGAAGGUCUUCGGAUCGUAAAACCCUGUUGUUAGAGAAGAAAGUGCGUGAGAGUAACUGUUCACGUUUCGACGGUAUCUAACCAGAAAGCCACGGCUAACUACGUGCCAGCAGCCGCGGUAAUACGUAGGUGGCAAGCGUUAUCCGGAUUUAUUGGGCGUAAAGGGAACGCAGGCGGUCUUUUAAGUCUGAUGUGAAAGCCUUCGGCUUAACCGGAGUAGUGCAUUGGAAACUGGGAGACUGGAGUGCAGAAGAGGAGAGUGGAACUGCAUGUGUAGCGGUGAAAUGCGUAGAUAUAUGGAAGAACACCAGUGGCGAAAGCGGCUCUCUGGUCUGUAACUGACGCUGAGGUUCGAAAGCGUGGGUAGCAAACAGGAUUAGAUACCCGUGUAGUC
rnacentral:rRNA from 1 species